GCACCUGUAGGGUGCUCAUGGCUAUGCAGUCGAACGGCGUAGGCGUACUUAAACCUGGUGGCGAGCGGCGGACGGGUGAGUAAAGCCUAGGAAUCUGCCUGGUAGUGGGGGAUAACGCUCGGAAACGGACGCUAAUACCGCAUACGUCCUACGGGAGAAAGCAGGGGACCUUCGGGCCUUGCGCUAUCAGAUGAGCCUAGGUCGGAUUAGCUAGUUGGUGAGGUAAUGGCUCACCAAGGCGACGAUCCGUAACUGGUCUGAGAGGAUGAUCAGUCACACUGGAACUGAGACACGGUCCAGACUCCUACGGGAGGCAGCAGUGGGGAAUAUUGGACAAUGGGCGAAAGCCUGAUCCAGCCAUGCCGCGUGUGUGAAGAAGGUCUUCCGAUUGUAAAGCACUUUAAGUUGGUAAGAAGGGGAUUGACCAAAUACCCAUGUGUUUUUGUGAUUUUUUGGUUCCCAAAAGCCCCGGCUAACUCUUUUGUUGAGGGGCCGGGGAUGGCCCGGCGGGGGAGGGAUUUUACGCGUAGAUUUC
rnacentral:rRNA from 1 species